rnacentral:rRNA from 1 species
UAAAGAAUCUUCCACAAUGGGCGAAAGCCUGAUGGAGCGACACCGCGUGCAGGAUGACGGCCUUCGGGUUGUAAACUGCUUUUCUGGGGGAAGAAUUAUGACGGUACCCUAGGAAUAAGCACCGGCUAAUUCCGUGCCAGCAGCCGCGGUAAUACGUAGGGUGCGAGCGUUGUUCGGAAUUACUGGGCGUAAAGGGCGCGCAGGCGGAAUAGCAAGUCGGAGGUGAAAGCCCGGGGCUCAACCCCGGAGGGUCUUUCGAAACUGCUAAUCUAGAGAGGGUCAGGGGCCAGCAGAAUUCUUGGUGUAGAGGUGAAAUUCGUAGAUAUCAAGAGGAAUACCGGUGGCGAAAGCGGCUGGCUGGGGCCACUCUGACGCUGAGGCGCGAAAGCGUGGGGAGCAAACAGG